ACGAACGCUGGCGGCGUGCUUAACACAUGCCAGUCGCACGGAAAGGCCCUGCUUUUGUGGGGUGCUCGAGUGGCGAACGGGUGAGUAACACGUGAGUAACCUGCCCUUGACUUUGGGAUAACUUCAGGAAACUGGGGCUAAUACCGGAUAGGAGCUCCUGCUGCAUGGUGGGGGUUGGAAAGUUUCGGCGGUUGGGGAUGGACUCGCGGCUUAUCGGCUUGUUGGUGGGGUAGUGGCUUACCAAGGCUUUGACGGGUAGCCGGCCUGAGAGGGUGACCGGCCACAUUGGGACUGAGAUACGGCCCAGAAUCGUACGGGAGGCAGCAGUGGGGAAUAUUGCACAAUGGGCGGAAGCCUGAGGCGGAGACGCCGCGUGCGGGAUGACGGCCUUCGGGUUGUAAACCGCUUUCGCCUGUGACGAAGCGUGAGUGACGGUAAUGGGUAAAGAAGCACCGGCUAACUACGUG
rnacentral:rRNA from 1 species